rnacentral:rRNA from 1 species
CCUACGGGGUGCUGCAGUGGGGAAUAUUGGACAAUGGGCGAAAGCCUGAUCCAGCCAUGCCGCGUGUGUGAAGAAGGCCUUCGGGUUGUAAAGCACUUUCAGUGGGGAAGAAAGCCUUGGGGCUAAUACCCUCGAGGAAGGACAUCACCCACAGAAGAAGCACCGGCUAACUCCGUGCCAGCAGCCGCGGUAAUACGGAGGGUGCGAGCGUUAAUCGGAAUUACUGGGCGUAAAGCGCGCGUAGGCGGUCUGAUAAGCCGGUUGUGAAAGCCCCGGGCUCAACCUGGGAACGGCAUCCGGAACUGUCAGGCUAGAGUGCAGGAGAGGAAGGUAGAAUUCCCGGUGUAGCGGUGAAAUGCGUAGAGAUCGGGAGGAAUACCAGUGGCGAAGGCGGCCUUCUGGACUGACACUGACGCUGAGGUGCGAAAGCGUGGGUAGCAAACAGGAUUAGUACCCCGGUAGUC